rnacentral:rRNA from 1 species
CCCUACUGCUAUCGGGGUGGGACUAAGACAUGCGAGUUGUGCGUCUCUAAGCUAUGGUAGAGACGCAGCGUACGGCUCAGUAACACGUGGCUAACCUACCCUUAGGACGGGGACAACCCCGGGAAACUGGGGCUAAUCCCCGAUAGGUAAGGAAUCCUGGAAUGGAUCUUUGCUGAAAGGGCGUCUGGACCAUGCUUCUUGACGUCGCCCAAGGAUGGAGCCGCGACCGAUCAGGUUGUUGGUGGGGUAACGGCUCACCAAGCCUAUAACCGGUACGGGCCGUGAGAGCGGGAGCCCGGAGAUGGGCACUGAGACAAGGGCCCAGGCCCUACGGGGCGCAGCAGUUGCGAAAACUCCGCAAUGCGCGAAAGCGUGACGGGGCUACCCCGAGUGCCGCCCGUUGAGGGCGGCUUUUCCGCGGUGUAAGGAGCCGUGGGAAUAAGGAGAGGGCAAGACUGGUGUCAGCCGCCGCGGUAAUACCAGCUCUCCGAGUGGUGGGGACGAUUAUUGGGCUUAAAGCGUUCGUAGCCGGCUUAACAAGUCUUCCGUUAAAUCCAACGAUCUAAUCGUUGGGCUGCGGGAGAUACUGUUGGGCUAGGAGGCGGGAGAAGCCGACGGUAUUCUCGGGGUAGGGGUGAAAUCCUGUAAUCCCGGGAGGACCACCAGUGGCGAAGGCGGUCGGCUAGAACGCGCUCGACGGUGAGGGACGAAAGCUGGGGGAGCGAACCGGAUUAGAAACCCGGGUAGUCCCAGCUGUAAACGAUGCGGGCUAGGUGUUGGGGUGGCCACGAGCCACUUCAGUGCCGCAUGGAAGCAAUUAAGCCCGCCGCCUGGGGAGUACGGCCGCAAGGCUGAAACUUAAAGGAAUUGGCGGGGGAGCACCACAAGGCGUGAAGCUUGCGGUUU